rnacentral:lncRNA from 1 species
AGGUUUAAACUGUGAUAUGUAAAGCCCUUAGAAUAGUACCAAGAAUAUAGUAAGUGUCAAAUGAGUUUUUGUCAUCAUCGUAAUCAUCAUCUGCAAUUGUCACUCUCAUUUGCUGUUUUUGUCUCCUUUCAGUAUAAAUAGAAGCUAUAAUUAGCAUUCACAAGUCACAGUUUAUUUUCAUGUCUGCAUGCCUUAAAUAACCCCAGGUUUAGAACAACUUCUGAGGUUGAAUAUUCCUUAAAAUAUAACUUCUCCUCCCUUGGGCUCAAAGUUGGCCAUUGUAGCCUGGAUGCUCCCACCAUUUGCUGUGAGCUUUUGGGUGGUGAAUGAGUGAUCAGCGUUUUAGCACAGAGCAUUAAGUUCGGUGUCAUUUAAUAAAUGUGCAGCCAUGACCAUUUUUGUGGUCGUGGGGAUCUAGGGGGCAAGGUGGAUAAUUAAAUAUACCAAGAAUCCCCAGACUUUACUGUCAUUCUCCUUCUAGGCUUUAUGGUUUUUCCUAACCUAGAACUCCAGACAGGUGGUUUAAUGACUCACCCCAUUCACCACACUGCUGUGUGAUCUGGGACUGCUCUAGCAAGGAGCAGAGAGCCUAGAGAUUCCCCACCUGGGACAAAGAACCAGUGGGCAAUCAAAGGUUAACUUACCUUUGGAGAAAAUCCAGUUUUAUUACCAAGAUCCCUGGAGAACAUUUUCAUUUAGGUAAAACAUGUAGCUAUAUCUUGUUUAAACUAGCCAAGGUAUCUUUCCAUGACAUGCAGAGGCCUGGGGAUAUUAGAUAGAGCAAGUGCCAUUUUCCUGGAUUAGGUGGAGCCAAAUAUGGCUAAUCAGUUUCUUACAUUUCCAUAAGCUGAUAGGGCUGGGACAGAUUGGGGUGAGGCACAUAUGGAGAUUUUCCUCCAUGCUCUGCCUCAAAGGCCCUGCAAUCCGGGCCAGCAGGUGUAAAGGCCCUGAGGGGAGGGGCCAUGGCAUGCACAAGGCUGGCAUGGCUGGAGCAGAGUGGCUGAGCCGAGACCAUGAGGGGCUUCAGCCAGGGGAACUGGAGCUGCAGGCAGGGUCCAGAACAAGCACAGAGGGAGCUUGGAUUUUAUUCCAAGUGUGACUGACUGAAGGGUUUGGGGAGUGAUACGUAGUUUAGGAAAUUCCGUCCGGCUGCUGUGUACAGACGAAGACUACAGGGGAGUAAAGAAGAAUAAUGGAGAUAAGUUCGUUGGUUAUUUUAAGGGUACCUAGACUUUGUUUUAGCCAGAUUUGGUAAGACCUUGAGACAUGGAAAUAACUGCCUUGAAGGGAGCAAUUUAUAUUCACAUUUCCUUAGAAAUAGGAGGCACAGGAUGCCAUGUGGGCUCCCAUGGAAAAGCACCAGGGUCUGUCAGGAUGCAGAAUAAAUGCAGAGAAAUGUAGGCAUAGCCUUUGUAGUGGUUUUCACAGGGAAGAGUGAGCAUGGCAGGUAAGCAGAUUUAGGAUUGGCUGCUUUGAAUACAUUUGAUUGGCUCUGGAGUAUAGAGGCAGUCCCUAGUUGUUUGGGACCUGGCCCCGGGAUAAUUCAGGUAGGUGGAUGGUGAACCACAGUGUGAGAGCCCAAUAAAGGAUGCCAUGUCUGAGCUCUGGACUGGUUGGUGUGCACUUGAAAAGGGUGCUUGCCCUCAGUCAUUUGCUAUCUCUAGGAAGUGGCUGAUGCUGAAAGGAGCAGUGCCUCCAUGGUCAGCAAGUCCCAGGUGUUAUAGCCUCAGAACACAGGAAAUAAAAGCCAUGGUUCACACAGUGGGAGGUGAUGGUUUGUGAAGACCCUGCCAGAAAAGAGGAAAAUGAAUAAUAAUGUUAAAUAAUAAGACCAGAGUCAAGGUGUCAAGGUGUCAAAGUGUCAAGGAAUGGGUCUGAGGCAUUUCCGUAGGCGACGUGCGUGCUCCUACAUUUGAAUUCAUGGUCUUUAGGAGAUAAUUUGAUUCUUGCAGGGAAACAUGUAUUUUAUUCAGAGAUAUUUUAGGGGAAAUUUCCAGAGUCUUGCUGGUGGAGAGAAAUCAAGGUGUAGGUGAAACUAACUCCUCAUCCCCCGCCACGUGUCCCCUCAAGAGCCCCUGCUUCCAUUUCCUUCCUGCUUACUUUCAGCAGCAAACCAGCAGACACCUGAAGUCUCAUUGGGAGUGUCUACUGACACCUAGCCAAAACCUGAAGCAGCAGAAUCUUCUUCAUCUUGUAGCAAGAGACAGGAUUCUGUUAAUCUGAGGUUGCAGUGGCUCUGGAGGGAGGGUUUCAGGAGCACACUGCACUGUGGGAGAACCCGAGGAAGACCAGAGGAGACAGGAGAUGCUGAGUAGGAGGAGAUUGUCUACACGCGCCCCUUGAGAAGCCGAGCGAGUGAGAGUUGUCCCGCUGCUUAUCAGAGAGAGAGUAGCUAAGUCAAGGUACCUGACCACCCAGACUCAACUCUGGGCCAUCACUUGCUCUCUUCAGUGCAAGAUCAACUGAAAUCUCCGUUGGUGUUCAGUGUGUCUUUAAUCUGGGCCACACCGGUGUGGAGGAACUGGGGAAAAAAGCAGCUCCUACGCCAGAAUCACCCGGUGGGCAGCAAACAAGCCUGUUUUGGAUUGCUGGGUAGAGAGGAGUACCAAUCAGUGGGUGACCAGUUUCCCAUCCAAGGAGGUGGUGAGACCGUUCUCACCCUCCUUGUAGCCAGAAAUACCUCCCACCUCCCUCCAGGGAGAGAAGGGUGCUAAUGUGCUGUGCCAGCCUGUUCUGUAUUCUUCGUGCCAUGACAUGUCCUCCAAGGUCAUCCAGUUUUAUCUGAUGACUGAUUUUCCCGUAAAACAUCCCCUGUAGGGAGCGCACAGCUUCUCCCCGAAUAUAACCAGUGAUGAAGAACUUAGCUUCCUGAGGAAGCUGGUUCUAUUUUCAGAUAGCGUAGUGCUAAUGUUUGGUUCUACAUAUGGAAAGUCUUUCUGUCUUCCUGAAGCUUCCAGGUACUUGUUCUAAUUUAAGCACCUUGGAACACAAGAUAUGUUUAAUUUCUUUUCUGUUAGGUAGUCUUUCAAUUUUUCGAAGACAGCUGUCUUAUCCUUUUAUAUCUCCUCUUAAUAAGCAAGGGGGUUUCCUCAUUUGUUCUUUGUAUAGUUUGGUUUUAUGUCUCUUCACUCUGCUGGUGAUUCUCCCUGAAAUAUAUUUGAUUGUAUACCUCACUUUUAAAAAGUGGAACCUAGAAGUGACCACAGAAUUCCAGGUAUGAUCUGAGCAGCACAUAGUACAGGAUGAAAAUGUUGCCCUUUGUUAUAGACUCUUUACUUUUAUUAGAGUCAGAGUUGGUUCAAUAUUUUGUGGCCUCAUGGUAUCAGAUUAAUUGUUGACUGAAACUCUCAAGGCUCUUAAAAAAUGUCAGCUGCCUUUAUAUCAAAUUUCUCCUCUUCAUGUACUGCAAGAUUUUAGGACUCAAAUUCUGGACUGUUAACCUUAUUAAAACAAAUUAUUUUUAGAUUUUACUUAUCAUCCCAGCCCAUCAAAAAUAUUGGGGCAUACGCAGGGCUGUGAGCUCUUUCUCCGGCAGAUCACCAGGACGCUAGGAAGCCCUCGCUAGGUUUGACAUCAAUCCAUUAAUGAGUAUUCUCUGGAUAUGAUUUCUGAAUAGUUAAUAACCCACUAAAGUGUUCUAGCAUCUGACCCAUUUUUCUCUAUGUUGAGCACAAGUGUAUCAUUAGAGACGCCACCAAUUGUUUCGCUACAGUCCAGACGCCUGAGUGGAAAUGUGUGAGCAUUGUCUUUAUCUGCCAGCCCCCCACUGAGGGAUGGAAAUGGGCCGGACUAACAGGAUGUGUUCUUGCGAACCCAUGCUGGGUCCUCUAAUCACUUCUUUGUCAUUUGGGGGCCUAUUAUAACAUCGCUUUAGUAAUACAUUCUGGAAUCUUGUCUGAGAUCCAUAUCGAGCUCAAUCACCCGUAGUUUACAGAUUCCAUUUUCUGUCCAUUUUAGAAAAUUGGAAGGAUGUUUACUCAUUUCCAGCCUUCUAAGAUCUCUUGACUUCUUCCUCAACAGCGUGCCUAUCCUGUCUCUGAUCUCCACCGUGUCCCAGAUAGAGCUGAAAGCUAUUUGUUUUUGGUUUUGCCUUUUUGGUGGUUUCCUGGCCUUCGGUCACUUUGAUAAAACACUCUCUUGUCACUUUCUUUCACAUCUCUGAAGUUUGUGUCCUUCCCACCCUGUCCUUUAAAAUCUGAGCUUCCAGAGCAGUGUUUUGCAACCAUAAGUAAAUAUUGGGGUCACUUGGGGAGAUUAAAAAAUGACUUCUGCUGGUUUCCCACCUGAGACAAACUGAGUUAAAACUUCAAUAAGUAAUGGAAGCAUUUUUUUUUUUUUUAAAGUCCCCCAGUGGACAGCCAAAGUUGGAACUAUAGUGGAGUGGCCUAUUAGUUUUCUUUAUUUCUGGUUUUGUGUGCUGGUUUUUGUUGUUUGUUUUAGAUUUUUUUUCCCCUCGGUAUCAUUGGUCUCACCUGUCUUGGCAUCGUGAGAUUUGAAUGUCGGAGAAAUUUCUGAAACAUUUUGAGAGCCAUGGACCGUCCCUCCUUACACCUUGAAAUUUUGCUUUUCUUUACCUUUGAAUCUUAUUAGUAAAUCACUCUGUCUUCAUGUCUCUUGGCUCCCACGAUGUGAACUCAGUGACCUUUGCCCUAAGACUCCUUUCUCAUCCUCUUUGAUAAACAUUCCUUUACCCUAGUAGGCCAGAAUUCAACCUAAGACAGUAGUUUUUCCGUUUGUGUGCUUGAUCUGUUUGGAAACGUAGCCGGGCUAGUUUUAGGCUGCUCUGCUUUGGGCCAAAUGAGGCUUUUAGUAGAUGUUUAUGGAGUUGAAAUCCAUCAUGACCACAUCAUGCUGGUAGUCACUUACAAAAAAUGUGUUGGGAACCUAUUACACUUUUCAUUUAUCUUGUCCAGUGUCCCAGUCUGUACAUUAGGGAUUCACAAAUCUAGUGGAUCCACUGCUUAGACAGUGGCAAAAAUACACAUUUUAGGAUCCGGCCCCGGAAGAUAUGAUUUAGUAGGGGCUCAAGAAAUUGCAUUUUAAAGUUCCCUUAAACAAUGUUGAUAAUUGGCCAGGUUUCAGAAGCACUGGCCUGAACCACAACAAUAUCCUUAUGUUCUUGUUCCCUUAUCUCUUGUCUCUUCAGCUGACAUCCACCCACAGGUCCAUGGAUUUUCACAAAGAUGUCUGUCUUGCUGGCAUGUGUUUUAGUCAAUUUCUUCCUCGAGCAGGCCUCUUUGUCUUGAAUAGAGCAUAUACUUCCAUCAGCAUUUUUCGAUUCUGUAUCUCUUCUUCCCCAAACUUGGUGAAACAAGUUCAUAUUUAUUGCCCUCUCUUGUAAGAAUUUCUUUCAAGUUAUCCCCAAUUCAUUUUGUUACUCAUGCUCUGCUGACUGUUCAUAAAGUAAGACUUCCAAGAUUAGAACAAUUUUUUUUCUGUUCCCAUCCCUGCUCAAUAGCUUUCUG